rnacentral:tRNA from 1 species
GGAGGGGUGGCCGAGUGGACGAAGGCGGGUGACUUGAAAUCACUUGACCCCGAAGGGGGUCCGGGGGUUCGAAUCCCUCCCCCUCCGCCA